rnacentral:rRNA from 1 species
CCAGACUCCUACGGGAGGCAGCAGUGAGGAAUAUUGGUCAAUGGCCGAGAGGCUGAACCAGCCAAGUCGCGUGAGGGAAGACGGCCCUACGGGUUGUAAACCUCUUUUGUCGGGGAGCAAAGCAAGUCACGUGUGACUCAUUGAGAGUACCCGAAGAAAAAGCAUCGGCUAACUCCGUGCCAGCAGCCGCGGUAAUACGGAGGAUGCGAGCGUUAUCCGGAUUUAUUGGGUUUAAAGGGUGCGCAGGCGGAGGUGCAAGUCAGCGGUCAAAUUGCGGGGCUCAACCCCGUACUGCCGUUGAAACUGGCGUUCUUGAGUGGGCGAGAAGUAUGCGGAAUGCGUGGUGUAGCGGUGAAAUGCAUAGAUAUCACGAAGAACCCCGAUUGCGAAGGCAGCUUACUAAACUGUGACUGACAUUGAUGCUCGAAAGUGUGGGUAUCAAACAGGAUUAGAUACCCCCGUAUA